AUGUGGAUUGUUGGUUGUUGGAGCGGCGGCGCGGGGUUAGUGCGGUCUCGGUUUCAGAGGUCGGCUUUUAGGGUUUGCAAGGGGUCCCUUUAGCCCCUUGGUGGUACAGUGGCGCAUGGAGGCAGUUCGGUGGGCUCGCCGGUGAUUCUUCUUGCUGGUGAGGGGUGUGUGGUGGCGAAGUUUUGCCUUCUCCUAGGUGUCUAGUUAAGGUCGCCUCUGACC
rnacentral:lncRNA from 1 species